rnacentral:tRNA from 1 species
GCCACGGUGGUCUAGCGGUUAGAACGCUGGCCUUGUAAUCCUGGUGGGGGGGUCUCGGGUUCGAUUCCCGGCUGGUGCC